GGCAGAGUGGCAUAAUGGAGAGUGCCCUGGCCUAGGAAUUUGGAGACCUGGGUUCUAUUCUCAGCUCUGCCA
rnacentral:tRNA from 1 species